GGGGCACUGAGGAGCGGCGCCCGCGGGGCAGCGAGGAGCCCGAUGCAGGGUUCUGCGCGUCAUUUCCGGUCCCGCGGGCGCCCCGUGAAGCCCACCUGGAUCCGCCAGCGCUGUGCCACUCCCCAGUGCCGAGCUCCGAGCUGUCUCCGCGGCCUCGCGCCCGGCCCCUCCACCGCGCACCUCUUAGGCCCCGCCCGCCAGCGUCCCUUUGUUGUGAAGGCGCCGGGGCCUAGCGCUAUGCCUGCGGCGGAGACUGCAUCAGGCUCUCGCGUCUGCUUCUACGCUUUGCCUGGGAGAGGCCCUGGUGGCCUCGUUCCUGGCGCCCGGAGUCCCUGCUGCGGCCCCACCCCCGGGCGGUCACGGUGACCCAUGCUGCCCAGCCUGGAGGUAAAAUCGUUCGUGGCUGUGGCUUCAGCAUGUCGUCCUCGGUGAAAACCCCAGCACUGGAAGAGCUGGUUCCUGGCUCCGAAGAGAAGCCGAAAGGCAGGUCGCCUCUCAGCUGGGGCUCUCUGUUUGGUCACCGAAGUGAGAAGAUUGUUUUUGCCAAGAGCGACGGCGGCACAGAUGAGAACGUACUGACCGUCACCAUCACGGAGACCACGGUCAUCGAGUCAGACUUGGGUGUGUGGAGCUCGCGGGCGCUGCUCUACCUCACGCUGUGGUUCUUCUUCAGCUUCUGCACGCUCUUCCUCAACAAGUACAUCCUGUCCCUGCUGGGAGGCGAGCCCAGCAUGCUAGGUGCGGUGCAGAUGCUGUCCACCACGGUUAUCGGGUGUGUGAAAACCCUCGUUCCUUGCUGUUUAUAUCAGCACAAGGCCCGGCUUUCCUACCCACCCAACUUCCUUAUGACGAUGCUGUUUGUGGGUCUGAUGAGGUUUGCAACUGUGGUUUUGGGUUUGGUCAGCCUGAAAAAUGUGGCGGUUUCGUUUGCUGAGACGGUGAAGAGCUCCGCCCCCAUCUUCACGGUGAUCAUGUCUCGGAUGAUUCUGGGGGAGUACACAGGACGUCCCAGUGAUCGGGAGGAGCGGGAAGAGCUUCAGCUACAACCAGGACGUGGUGCUGCUGCUUCUGACAGACGGAGUCCUGUUCCACCUUCAGAGCGUCACGGCGUACGCCCUCAUGGGGAAAAUCUCCCCGGUGACUUUCAGGUCCCGCAGGCCCUGCACCGAGUCGCCUUGUCCAUGGCGCUGCCCUGCCCCAUGCUUCCUGCGUCCUGAGUAGGAGGUAUCUCCGAGACAGGAAAAGUGGCCGCUCUCUCUCACUUUUUCUGGAACUCAUGGUGGUCUCCUGGGCUUGGUCACUGUCUCUCACCAGCAUGUUUCUUUGUGCGGUCAGGAAUUAUUUCCAAAUGCUCCUGAAGCCUAGUGUUUUAGUGAACAUUAGUGAUUGUUAGCAGUGGUUCAAAAAAAAAAAACUUUUUUUUUUUUUUU
rnacentral:lncRNA from 1 species